rnacentral:rRNA from 1 species
GACGAACGCUGGCGGCGUGCUUAACACAUGCAAGUCGAGCGGAGAUUGCAGUAAUGUAAUCUUAGCGGCGGACGGGUGAGUAACGCGUGGGCAACCUGCCUCAUACAAGGGGAUAACACUGGGAAACUAGUGCUAAUACCGUAUAAACAAUUGGAUGGCAUCAUUUAAUUGUCAAAGGAGAAAUCCGGUAAGAGAUGGGCCCGCGUCCGAUUAGCUAGUUGGUAGUGUAAAGGACUACCAAGGCGACGAUCGGUAGCCGAACUGAGAGGUUGAUCGGCCACAUUGGGACUGAGACACGGCCCAGACUCCUACGGGUGGCAG